CUACAAACGGGUGACCCGGCC
rnacentral:siRNA from 1 species